rnacentral:rRNA from 1 species
UACGAAGGGGGCUAGCGUUGUUCGGAAUUACUGGGCGUAAAGCGCACGUAGGCGGGUCUGUAAGUAGGGGGUGAAAUCCCAGGGCUCAACCCUGGAACUGCCUUCUAGACUGCAGGCCUGGAGGUCAGGAGAGGCGAGUGGAAUACCGAGUGUAGAGGUGAAAUUCGUAGAUAUUCGCAAGAACACCAGUGGCGAAGGCGGCUCACUGGCCCGGUACUGACGCUGAGGUGCGAAAGCGUGGGGAGCAAACAGG